UCCGUGACCCGGCGGAAGUGAUUCCUCUAACUGCCCCGGAACCCACCGCGGCAGGCAGCUGGGGGUGGGGGGGCGGCCCUGGAGUAGGGGCUGUGGCGGUGCGCGGGGACCCGGUGCGGUGGCUGCUGUGGCUGCAGGGCUGACGACUGCAGGACCCCGAGAAGUUUACCUUCUGGGCAACUUGUCGGACAAUCUCUGCCCGACUUGAUAGUUUGGGACUGUCGUGCAUCUGCCUUCCAGUUUUGUCUGAAAGUAGACUAAGAUGAUAAAUCUCUGAUCUCGCUUACAUUAUAUUUGUAAUUCAUGAUGUUGAAACAUCACAGUUCACACACAUGGAUUCGUUCAUUCUAGAGAUACUAUGAUUUUUCAGUACUAUAAAAUAAUCUGGAAACUCUUUGCAUUUAUACUGGUAAGUGUACAUGCAUUUUAGCUAACUUGUUAUAAAUGUUUACUGUUCCAUUAUUAAAUAAGAUCAGGAAAAGCCCAUCGAGUGAUGCCUGAA